UGCAUCCUUAGCUACGCCGUGCUGG
rnacentral:piRNA from 1 species